GACGAACGCUGGCGGCGUGCCUAAUACAUGCAAGUCGAGCGAAGCGGCGGAUGGGUGAGUAACGCGUGGGUAACCUGCACUUAAGUCUGGGAUACCAUUUGGAAACAGAUGCUAAUACCGGAUACAAACGGAUGGACCUGCGAUGCAUUAGCUAGUUGGUAAGGUAACGGCGUACCAAGGCGAUGAUGCAGAGCCGAGUUGAGAGACUGAGCGGCCACAUUGGGACUGAGACACGGCCCAAACUCCGACGGGAGGCAGCAGUAGGGAAUCUUCCACAAUGGACGAAAGUUUGAUGGAGCAACGCCGCGUGAGUGAAGAAGGUUUUCGGAUCGUAAAGCUCUGUUUUUGGGGAAGCGGUAAUCAACCAGAAAGCCACGGCUAACUACGUGCCAGCAGCCGCGGUAAUUC
rnacentral:rRNA from 1 species